rnacentral:rRNA from 1 species
UGGGGAAUCUUAGACAAUGGGGGAAACCCUGAUCUAGCCAUGCCGCGUGAGUGACGAAGGCCUUAGGGUCGUAAAGCUCUUUCGCCAGGGAUGAUAAUGACAGUACCUGGUAAAGAAACCCCGGCUAACUCCGUGCCAGCAGCCGCGGUAAUACGGAGGGGGUUAGCGUUGUUCGGAUUUACUGGGCGUAAAGCGCACGUAGGCGGACUAUUAAGUCAGGGGUGAAAUCCCGGGGCUCAACCCCGGAAUUGCCUUUGAUACUGGUAGUCUAGAGUUCGAGAGAGGUGAGGGGAAUUCCGAGUGUAGAGGGGAAAUUCGUAGAUAUUCGGAGGAACACCAGUGGCGAAGGGGGCUCACUGGCUCGAUACUGACGUUGAGGUGCGAAAGCGUGGGGAGCAAACAGGAUUAGAUACCCCCGUAGUCC